GUUUGUACUUCUAAUUCUUGACCGUUGUUUUAUUUUGCUCUCUCCUUUGCGCUUCCGCGUUCAUCACUUCUCACCAG